UACAGAGACUGCGAGCGUUAUUCGGAUUCAUUGGGCGUAAAGGGUGCGUAGGUGGCGCUGUAAGUCGGGUGUGAAAUUUCGGAGCUUAACUCCGAAACUGCAUUCGAUACUGCGGUGCUUGAGGACUGGAGAGGAGACUGGAAUUCAUGGUGUAGCAGUGAAAUGCGUAGAGAUCAUGAGGAAGACCAGUGGCGAAGGCGGGUCUCUGGACAGUUCCUGACACUGAGGCACGAAGGCCAGGGGAGCAAACGGG
rnacentral:rRNA from 1 species